UAUAGAGUUUUAUUAAAUUAAUGUAUAUCAAAGGGUAAAGAGGUUUUACAAUUCUUCCAGACAAUUCCACACUGUGUUAUUUGAGUAUUAUAAUCAUGAACAUUUUUAUCAUAUUUUUAUCAUAUUACACGCAAUGUUUUAUACAGUUUAAGACAAACAUAAGUAAAAUCGAUGCAACUUUCAUGGGAAACUGCAUGUAGCUGGUCAAAGUUCGUUUUUUUACCCUGAACAGGGAUUCUCUAAUGGAAGUCAGGGAAGUUGGGGAAACUUUGCCUAUAAAAAGGUCUUGUUGGACGUUUUCAACUAGUUUUGUAUGAUUACAGUAGUGAUGUGUCGUUGUGAACAAGCCGGUUCAAAGAGCCGGCUCUUUUAAGUGAACGAUGGGAGCCGGCUCCGGUAUGUGAGCAGUUGAGUGGGAGUAAAAAAAGAAGCAGCAUUUUUAUGCUUUUUAUAGGUGUUUCUAUCUGCUCUGUGUAGCUGAGUGGUUCUACAAGUAAAUUAGUGCAUUCAGUGGGCGGUUUCAGAGUUACAACGAUCUGUAAACGCAAUGAAAACAACUGGCUACAGCAUUUAUUGAUAUUAGAAAAUGUAAUUUUUAUGCUUGAAUGCUUCAGUACAAAGGAUGUAUUGAAUAUAUACGUGAUAUAUGUGUACACAUACAAAUCAUAAGUCAAAUCAGUGCUAAAUCUGAAUUAUGAAAGGCAUAAGUGGUAAAAAUGAAGAGCCAAAAGAGCCGACUCUUUUUGGUGAGCUGAGUCAAAUGAUCUGACUCCCCAAAAAGAACCGGACUCCCCAUCACUAGAUUAAAGUGUGGGUAGUGUAUGCAAAUGAGCAUGUCGCCUGCACCCAGUGCUCCCUGCUUAUUUGCUGAUGGAAGUCUGCGUGUGAUUUGAAAAGUACACGCCUGUGUAUGAAACAGGAGGCGAUGGACAAAUGCAGUAUAAAGGGAGACCAAGUCUGCUGUAAUGAACCUCGCUGUCCUGUCAGCGUGUCCUUGGAUUGUGGGGCUGCUGUCUUUGCAGAUGCUGAAGGUGGACGUGGCAACACCCGGGCAAAACGUGACACCUGUGACAAAAUGGGGGCUCGUUUGGGACACAAACCUGUUUGAUGGAAACUGCCUUCGGUGCCAGCUGCUCAGCCAAUAGGAACUUGGCUUGGGGACAGGCGCGUGGUCAGUUCCAGUCCAACAUGGACCAGUUCAUUUGGAGGAGUGCCAGUUAACCUUUGGUACCUUUGACUUUGCCAAUAACAGUCAAGUCAAAUUUCAAAAUAAGUGUUUUUCUAAAUUCUAACCCUCAUUUUAAUCUGUUGUAUCGCUGGCUUUAAACAAGAACCUUUAGCCCGAAUGGCAAAGUUGGUGUGUGUGGUAAACAGAAACAUCAGUGUUAGUUCAAGAACAGAAAUAAGACAGCCAGUGGCAAACAGAUUGUGAGCAUUAGCUGUUUUUACUGAAAAACUGUAACAGGGGUUGGUGAACCAGACACCUCUGUAGCAUCACGCUGCUACUGUACAUACAAGACAACACCCACAGCACAGUCACAGAUUAUACAAUGCUUCUAAUCAAUAUGUUCAUCAAUAUAUAAUGUAUUGUAUAAUCAACAGCUCUGGGUCACACCAUGGUGAGGUCAGAACAUGGAUCAAAAUGUUCUCUGCGUUUUCAGUCCUACAUAUCCACUGCUUCCAUUACAUGGAGACAAAACAGAAAAUGUUUGUCUGAUUUUGGUCUUUGGCUCCAUUUUAAGUUCAAAUUCCAACUACGUGGAGGUCAGAGAAUUUUGAUCCAGGUUGAGUUGUGUUUGUUUCUCAAAACCUUCUUUAGGUUCCACACAGAAAGGUUUGGGCCAGUGAGCAUGAAGUCAGUUCAUCACGUAUCACAGCUGAGUAGAAUAGAACAAAUUAUAUUUAAAAAAGACAAUAAAAGUGGAUUGAAAGCAUGGCUUUGUGUCUAAAACACAUCAUAUAGCUGGAUUAUUGUCCUCUGACAGGCUCUAUGCUCCAAGGCCCAGAGUUUCAGUGGGUACUGAAGGAGGAUGACAGGUGUGUGCACAACAGAACUGGUGGCCAUCAGGUGUUCCAAACAGAUUAGAGAACACAUAGUAUCCUCAGGGCGGGGAUCACCAAACACCAAAUAAUUUAAAAGGUCAAACUCAAACAACCUUUUUCUUGAGAAAAAGCCUUCAAGAAGUUUGCAACAAGACCAGCAACUGGGACAUCCUGGACCUAAAGAGUGAACAGUGCUGCCACGAGAAACUGAGGCGGAGCUUCAGCAACAGCCGUUUUCCUAUCGAUGUGGACAGAUCUGAGGACAGAAAUCUUCCUGUUGUGUUGCUUCCUCUGUAGAGCAGAACAAGAUUCUCAGAUUCUUCAAAGCGUUAACUGACUCAUUUGAACAUGAGGACUUCAUAUCCAAUAAUAUCACUCGAUUCUGAUGAAACUAUUGGGAACUGCUCCAGUACAGAACCAUGUCUUCCAAAACUGGGUAUAAUGGUCUCCUCUGGAUAUCUUAAGAGACACUGGACCUUAUGCAAGAACCACCUGUCUGAACAGAAUCAUUCCUAAGAGGCACAUAUGAGGGAUUUAAGAGAGCGGUACAGACCUGUCGUACCAGUCAUCACCAGACAUUUAACUGCUCUCUGUGGAGAGGUGGACUAAGAUACCAAUAUCAAGCAAAUUAUGUUAGAUUUCGUUCGCCAUAUCAUCACGGCAGAACAAUUUAUUGCAUUAUUUCUGCACACUAACUUCAGUGUGAACAUCCUCAGACCGAUCUGCUGAACAAUUUUCUCUUCCACUCCAGUCUGUUCUCUGAUUUGAAACAGAAAAA